rnacentral:rRNA from 1 species
CUACGGGGCGCUCCAGUGGGGAAUAUUGGACAAUGGGCGCAAGCUUGAUCCAGCCAUGCCGCGUGAGUGAUGAAGGCCCUAGGGUUGUAAAGCUCUUUCACCGGUGAAGAUAAUGACGGUAACCGGAGAAGAAGCCCCGGCUAACUUCGUGCCAGCAGCCGCGGUAAUACGAAGGGGGCUAGCGUUGUUCGGAUUUACUGGGCGUAAAGCGCACGUAGGCGGACUAUUAAGUCAGGGGUGAAAUCCCGGGGCUCAACCCCGGAACUGCCUUUGAUACUGGUAGUCUUGAGUUCGAGAGAGGUGAGUGGAAUUCCGAGUGUAGAGGUGAAAUUCGUAGAUAUUCGGAGGAACACCAGUGGCGAAGGCGGCUCACUGGCUCGAUACUGACGCUGAAGUGCGAAAGCGUGGGGAGCAAACAGGAUUAGAUACCCGAGUAGUC